GGGGCAGUAGUGUAGUGGUAGUGCUAGUGUGCUGUGGACAGCAGGUCUGGGGUUCGAAUCCCUGUGCCCCC
rnacentral:tRNA from 1 species